CUUUAAUAACUUAUAACAAAUAUAUAUAUUUUAGUGUUGUAAUAAACAUGGGGCAAAAUGUAUUUACUCCUCUUAAUUUUUAGCAUAAGGUAAAAUUGUUACAUUCUGGUUUUUAUUAUAAAUAAGCGUAUAUAUAACGCAACAGCAAAAACAUAUUAUUACGACUUUGUAAAAGUGAGGAAAGAAAACAAAAGAGAAGAAAGCAUUUAAGUUAUACGUUAUUAAAAGAACUUAAUAUUCAGAAGUAUGAAUAGUCUCAUGAGAUUUAUGACAAUUUAUGGUUCAGAUGUAACGAAAGCACCUGCAUAGCAAAAUUUGAUGAUCAAAAUCAACGAACAUUCCUUUUUGUACUGUUUUAAGGGCCUUUAAUAUAUAUGAGAAAAAGAGACAGUGUGCAUAUUGUAAUAUUGCCUCUUUCAUUGAUCCAUUAUAAAAUUGUUUUAAAUAUAGCAUUUGUUUUAUAUAUAUUUAUAUUUUAUACGCAUAAUUACAGCAGGUUUUCUUUGUACUUUUAUUUAAUUUCUUAUGUAUAAAGAUUUAAAGAUAUUUUUAACCUAGAAUGACAUAUAUGUAAUCUCAUUGU
rnacentral:lncRNA from 1 species